UGACCGCUGGCGGCGUGCCUACUACAUGCAAGUCGAGCGAACAGACGAGGAGCUUGCUCCUCUGACGUUAGCGGCGGACGGGUGAGUAACACGUGGAUAACCUACCUAUAAGACUGGGAUAACUUCGGGAAACCGGAGCUAAUACCGGAUAAUAUAUUGAACCGCAUGGUUCAAUAGUGAAAGACGGUUUUGCUGUCACUUAUAGAUGGAUCCGCGCCGCAUUAGCUAGUUGGUAAGGUAACGGCUUACCAAGGCGACGAUGCGUAGCCGACCUGAGAGGGUGAUCGGCCACACUGGAACUGAGACACGGUCCAGACUCCUACGGGAGGCAGCAGUAGGGAAUCUUCCGCAAUGGGCGAAAGCCUGACGGAGCAACGCCGCGUGAGUGAUGAAGGUCUUCGGAUCGUAAAACUCUGUUAUUAGGGAAGAACAAAUGUGUAAGUAACUAUGCACGUCUUGAGGGUACCUAAUCAGAAAGCCACGGCUAACUACAUG
rnacentral:rRNA from 1 species